rnacentral:tRNA from 1 species
UAGCUCAGUGGUAGAGUGUGUGCUUAAUAUGUGCAACGUCCUGGGUUCAAUCCCCAUUACCUCCA